CAGCAGCCGCGGUAAUACAGAGGGUGCAAGCGUUAAUCGGAAUUACUGGGCGUAAAGCGCGCGUAGGUGGUUAGUUAAGUUGGAUGUGAAAUCCCCGGGCUCAACCUGGGAACUGCAUUCAAAACUGACUGACUAGAGUAUGGUAGAGGGUGGUGGAAUUUCCUGUGUAGCGGUGAAAUGCGUAGAUAUAGGAAGGAACACCAGUGGCGAAGGCGACCACCUGGACUGAUACUGACACUGANNUGCGAAAGCGUGGGGAGCAAACAGGAUUAGAUACCCUGGUAGUCCACGCCGUAAACGAUGUCAACUAGCCGUUGGGAGCCUUGAGCUCUUAGUGGCGCAGCUAACGCAUUAAGUUGACCGCCUGGGGAGU
rnacentral:rRNA from 1 species